CUUAUAAGAAAGAUGGGGACAGACUUUUUAGUAGGGCCUGUAGCAAUAGGAUAAGGGGGUAGUGGUUUUAAACUGAAAGAGGGUAGAUUCAGACUAGAUAUAAGGAAGAGGUUUUUUGUGAU